UACGUAGGGUGCAAGCGUUGUCCGGAAUUAUUGGGCGUAAAGAGCGUGUAGGCGGCCAAGCAGGUCCGCUGUGAAAACUCGAGGCUCACCUCGAGACGUCGGUGGAAACCGUUUGGCUAGAGUCCGGAAGAGGAGAGUGGAAUUCCCGGUGUAGCGGUGAAAUGCGCAGAUAUCGGGAAGAACACCCGUGGCGAAGGCGGCUCUCUGGGACGGUACUGACGCUGAGACGCGAAAGCGUGGGGAGCGAACAGG
rnacentral:rRNA from 1 species